rnacentral:lncRNA from 1 species
UGAGAAGCGUGAUAUUAUACAAAUAGCAAUGAUUGAUGCAACAAAGGAUACAUUUCUUGCUUGUUUCCUAAUGAUCUUCUGAAAAUUUAAUAAACAAACAUGAAGGGAGGUGUUGACUUUGAUUCUUAGAUUAUUUCAGCUGAUAUGACCUGUCCAUCUCUCUGUCAUUAUUCGUUAUCACCUCAUUUUCCUAAUCAAGUUACGAGACUUCCGCUGAUAUUAUUGGAGGGGAGUCGCAGGAGAAGUCUUCUCUGAUCGUGAUUGUCUGCAAAAUAAACGAAGCCAAUGACUUUGGAUCAUUGCAUCACACUAUCAGAAGAGGCUCUUCAAAAGUCGCUGGCAGCUUUCUCCAAUAAAAUUCAAAUAAAAAAAAGAUACAUACUUAUCAUUUUGCUAUCAUUCUUUUAUUUCACUGCCUAUUUUGCAUGGCUGCAAAGUUUCCCAAUACAAGGCAGAUGAAACAGUCAAAGAAUG